rnacentral:rRNA from 1 species
UACGUAGGGGGCUAGCGUUGUCCGGAAUCAUUGGGCGUAAAGAGCGCGUAGGCGGCUAGAUAAGUCCGGUGUGAAAGUCACAGGCUCAACCUGUGAAUGCCGCUGGAAACUGUCUGGCUAGAGUCCGGAAGGGGCGAGUGGAAUUCCUGGUGUAGCGGUGGAAUGCGCAGAUAUCAGGAGGAACACCGAUGGCGAAGGCAGCUCGCUGGGACGGUACUGACGCUGAGGCGCGAAAGCGUGGGGAGCGAACAGG